rnacentral:rRNA from 1 species
UACAGAGACUGCAAGCGUUGUUCGGAUUCAUUGGGCGUAAAGGGUGCGCAGGCGGUCCGGUAAGUCGGGUGUGAAAGCUCGAGGCCUAACCUCGAAUGGUCAUUCGAAACUACCGGGCUAGAGGAUUGGAGAGGAGACUGGAAUAGUUGGUGUAGCAGUGAAAUGCGUAGAUAUCAAGUGGAACACCAGUGGCGAAGGCGAGUCUCUGGACAUUUCCUGACGCUGAGGCACGAAAGCCAGGGGAGCAAACGGG